AUUGAACGCUGGCGGCAUGCCUUACACAUGCAAGUCGAACGGCAGCACGGGUGCUUGCACCUGGUGGCGAGUGGCGAACGGGUGAGUAAUAUAUCGGAACGUACCUUAUUGUGGGGGAUAACGCAGCGAAAGCUGUGCUAAUACCGCAUAAUCCCUUAGGGGGAAAGCGGGGGACCGUAAGGCCUCGCGCGAUCGGAGCGGCCGAUGUCAGAUUAGGUAGUUGGGUGGGGUAAAGGCUCACCAAGCCGACGAUCUGUAGCUGGUCUGAGAGGACGACCAGCCACACUGGGACUGAGACACGGCCCAGACUCCUACGGGAGGCAGCAGUGAGGAAUAUUGGACAAUGGGCGCAAGCCUGAUCCAGCCAUGCCGCGUGCAGGAUGACGGUCCUAUGGAUUGUAAACUGCUUUUGUACAGGAAGAAACACUCCCUCGUGAGGGAGCUUGACGGUACUGUAAGAAUAAGGAUCGGCUAACUCCGUGCCAG
rnacentral:rRNA from 1 species